GUAACAAGGUCUCCGUUGGUGAACCAGCGGAGGGAUCAUUACCGAGUUUUCAACUCCCAAACCCCUGUGAACAUACCAAUCGUUGCCUCGGCGGGAGAGCCCCGGGCGUUGGCGAAAGCCUCGCACCGGUAUCAGGCGCCCGCCGGAGGACCCAAACAAACUCUUGAAUUCUAAAGUAUCUUCUGAGUAAUAUAAGUUAAAUAAAUUAAAACUUUCAACAACGGAUCUCUUGGUUCUGGCAUCGAUGAAGAACGCAGCGAAAUGCGAUAAGUAAUGUGAAUUGCAGAAUUCAGUGAAUCAUCGAAUCUUUGAACGCACAUUGCGCCCGCCAGUAUUCUGGCGGGCAUGCCUGUUCGAGCGUCAUUUCAACCCUCAAGCCCAGCUUGGUGUUGGGGAUCGGCACAGGCGCCCUCGGGCGCCCGCCGUCCCCUAAAUCUAGUGGCGGUCCCGCUGCAGCCUCCUCUGCGUAGUAGUUUUCUCCUCGCAAGGGCAGCUCGGUGGCGACCUCGCCGUAAAACCCCCAACUUCUGAAAGGUUGACCUCGAAUCAGGUAGGAAUACCCGCUGAACUUAAGCAUAUCAAU
rnacentral:rRNA from 1 species